UUCCUUAGCUCCUCCCUCCUCUUAUCUCUGCCAUAGAUCCUUGGCUUCCUGAUGAUCAAACUGAAAAAUCUGCAGUUUUCUUGCAGAAAAACAAACAAUUCCAAUGGAACAACCAUUCAAAACAUAAUAACUCAGCCCUUUAACCUCCUACCACAGUCUAAUGCCUGGCAUUACGAGUUGGGGUAAAGAAGAAGGCAGGAACAAUGAUUGUGGAGAGCUCUAUCUGCCUCAGAAAUAAUGCCAGUCGGCAAAGGCUGCCGGCAGGUUUUGUGCUCAUUUCAAAACUUCACAUUCCUCAGGCACUUAGUGGCAUUUUUGAAGAACACUGUGUCAAGGACAGUGGGUGACCCAGGAGAGUGAUGUGAGCGAGGUCAUUCUGAAUACACAGCACUUGACGUGGUAGAGUCUACAGCCACAGCUUGGAAAAACAGCUCUUGGCAGUUGUGUCUCUCUUAGCCAGCAAGCGUGGGGACCUGUGCCACGGAGACACCCAACAGGAAUCAUCAUUCCAGGCAGACACCUGGCUGCGGGAGCCACUGCCAAGUCUAGCUGUCAGGUUUUGUCACUGAUGGGCAAUAUGGAGAGAAUGUAAAAAUAUCUAACUUCAAACAGAAAAAAGAAACAACUGGAAUGAAAAGCUAUAAACAAUAGGUAAGGAAACACAAACAUUUACAUUUUAACACAGACCAAACAGGCAAGAAGGGACUUGCUGGCCAAAGAUAUCUCAUAUUUUGUUUUACUUCUCUGUUUUUAAAGUAUCAGGAAGUUGGGCCAAAUAUCAACUCUCUUCUAUAUUACAUGGACCUCCCAAUACUGUUCUUGGCUAGCCUGUUCACGGUCCAAACUGGCAUUUUAAACCAAUUCUAAUUAGGUUGAAAUUACAGUUACAAUUCAUUUACUUCAAAUCCGUUAACCUUCCAGUGUUGCAAAGAAGGCUGUGGAGUGGAACACAGAAUUCAGCUGAGAUGAUAUUUAAGGCAUAGCUAGGGACUGUGAUCUUGCCGACAAAAAUAUUACUUAUUUCCUUUUUAUGAAAAGAAUAUUACCAUCAGAAUCCAAGACCUCCGAACUUCCCUGCUGAAGGCACGUUUACGUCUUUGGACUCUGGUGUACCAGGGCCUGAACAAGCUAUAACACCAUGGUAUUACCAAAUACAUCCUAAGUCAUCAAAACAGCUUUUUAGGCUAAUUCUGUAAGUACAGCAAAACACACAGCAAACUUAAGGUUUUCUUAGUAGUAAAAAACAUGUAUCUCUCAUACUGUAAAAAAUAAAGGUGUUCCAUGGGAGGGAAGGAGUAGGGGGAGAACAGGUUGGGGCUCAAAAUAAGCAAGUAGGGUUAUUGUAAUCUAUUUUAAAGAAAAUUCAUAAUUUUAAAUCUCUCUUUAGUUCAGAAGAUUGACGUAGAGGAUUUACCUACAGAACUUCAGGAGAUUCCUAAGAAGGCCUUCAGUGAUCUUUUCAUCAAUAUCAUCAGGCCUUAUCAUUGUUUCACAUUUGCUUCUCUUUACCAUAGGGAAUAUAAUAAUUAUUUACUGGUUAACUUCCUAGGGAGAUUGCCUGCGGCUUAUUUAAGAUCCAAAUUUUAAAGUAAUAAUUUCUGUUGAAGCUGCUUGUGAGGUGGUUGGGUGGGCAGAUAGAGUGAAGCCAGGGACACACACUAAAUGAGCCCGGGAUGUAGGCAGGUUUUGAUGUUUUGCUUGCUUUUAUCCCUAACAUUUUAUCCCUUCACGUUUACUGUCUCACUGAACAUUUUGUCUACUCUUCUAGUUAUGCAGUGAGCAGGUCUCCUCCAGGAAGAAGCCUCUUUUUAUGAGGAUUGGGGUGGUGACAGACAAUAAUCAAAUGGUCUGAUUUCUCUGCUAUCCUUUCCUUUCCCCUAAAUGUUCUCAGGGGAUCUGCUUGAACUUUUUUCAAGAGCUCUGUAUUUGGAUUUUUAGUAGCCUAUAGAUUAUCACUCAAUAAAACAAAUUAAUUGUUUUUAAGUGAAUUGCCAAAAGUCAUUUUAAAAAGGAAACUCUAUGGUUAUUAUGGUUUCUGCUAGAAAGAAUUCUGACAGCUCAUAAAAGCAAUAUGUAUAAUUUUUCAUUUUUUAGAAGAAAAUAAAUACUUUCAUGUAAUGGCUUGA
rnacentral:lncRNA from 1 species